rnacentral:rRNA from 1 species
UACGUAGGUGGCAAGCGUUGUCCGGAUUUACUGGGCGUAAAGGGCGCGCAGGCGGUCUUGAAAGUCAGGCGUGAAAGCCCCGGGCUUAACCUGGGAAUUGCGCUUGAUACUCUGAGACUGGAGUACGGGAGAGGAGAGUGGAAUUCCCAGUGUAGAGGUGAAAUUCGUAGAUAUUGGGAAGAACACCAGUGGCGAAGGCGGCUCUCUGGACCGUAACUGACGCUGAGGCGCGAAAGCGUGGGGAGCAAACAGG